CACACAGAUAAUCACGGGGUUAAAAGGGUGGCACUGGUUAAAGAACAGAACGUGAAGUCAGUCACUAAAAACACUUUCAAGUUAACCUGUAUCGUAAAAUAUAUUAUAUAGUAGAUAAAAUGUAAUGUAUCCAUCACCGGUCAAACAAUGAUGUUUUUUUUGUUUGUUUGUUUUGCAGUCUGUCAGUAUUGCAGGCCAGGACUGUCUCUUUAUUCAGCGGCUUCCUGAUCGGCUGGUUUGAAGAAUGUUGGACAACUUGAAUUGUACAAAUAUGCAGAAACUGAUAUGAGUAAAAGCCUCCUUCAAGGUAAUACAAGACAAAGCUCAGUGUGACCUUAAAACAGUGCAGGAUUUUGAGACAGCCUAAACCUUUUAAUACAAUUUUACUGGGUUUAUAAAGGUUUAUUUCUGCGCUGAUGUACGGCUGUCUGCUCAUAAGAUUACAAGGGCUACUUUCACCGCAGCCUAAUUUGUAUGAUCCAUUUGGUGGUGACAGACUUUGAGUCUCCUGCUACACUCUUAAUGGCUUUAUACAAGUUUGCAACGUUUUUCUACUUCCUGCUUCAUAUGGAAAAAAAAAAAAAAAGAGACUUCCUUUAAAGAGCAUGUGAAGUGAGACGAGCCGUUUGAGGACACUAAAACAAGCGUGAAGCUGCUCCCAACUGAGGUUAUUACAGUGCACUGAAACUAUAAACAGAUGGAAGAAAACUAGCAAAUAUAUAUAGAUAAUCAUUAUUCAAGUUAUUAGACUGAGUCUUCUGGACUCCUCGGUGACUUGUUCCCAGCCAUCCAAAUCGUCAUACCGCCUUGAGGUGAUAAAUAGAAGCCAGUGAAGUCAAAGAUCUGCACUACCCCAUAAAGUAAAUAAAACUUCUGAAAGCCUCAGUGUGACUCAAAGUUGGUCUGACAGCUUCCAGUCACACUGAUCAAAUAAAAUCUUGUGUGUCUACACUCUUCAAUCAAAGGCACAAAAUCCUGUCUACCUGCUGGUAGAUAAGAUUUUGAUCUAAAACUAGGUGAUUUAAGAAAAGUUGACCUCCGACCUCAAGGUCAUUGAAACACAUCUGAGAGGUUUAGCAGAUGCACCUGUGGAAAAUCCUAUGUAGCACCAUUCUUGAGUUAUCGCAUUCACAAACCUGGGCGCCCACCUUGCAGGGUGACGACAAUACUUCAGCCUUUUUUACGAGUGAGGGGUUAAAAAAAAGAAAAGAAAAAAAGUAUCUGGUUGAAGUGUAACAUGAGAGAGUGUGAACAGAGGCCGCUUUGAAGUAAAGCAGACAUUAGAAUGGAGUUUUGGUGUAUGUUUGUGAUAUCCUCUGAUGUUUUAAAUUAGUGAAUAUUCAAAUGGAGUUUGGUGCGCAUUUAAAAAAUGUCUGAAUGUCUGGUGAGUGUGUGACGGUAAGAUGCAUGCUCAAUCAUACAGGUAAGGAAAUCCAAAAUGUUUAUUCUGUUCAUCUGGAUGUAGCGUUUUCAGUGGGAGAAACAUUUUGUCACUCAUCAUGGUGACUUCUUCAGUCUCAGCUGACUGCAGGUUUGCCCGACUUUAUAAACAGUAUGUUUGCAUAAUGACUGAAACUAGCUCACUGAAAGAACAAUGGGCUGUGUGGAAGACCUCACCAUCUCUGAAUCGAGGACAGGGCCAAAGGGUACAUCUUUCACCAUCUUACAAUGCUGUGAUUACAGCUAUUCCCCAACUCCCUGUGAAUGGUACUUACGACCAUUGAUCGGUGGUCUUUGAUCAGUGGUUGUUGAUCAACGGUCAUGACAAUUUGCAUAUUCAUGAUCAAUGAAUCGACCUCACAGCCCAUUGUUCAUUCAGUGGUGCUAGUUUCGGUCAUCAUGCAAAUGUAGUGUUAAUAAGGUUGGCAGUCAGCUGAGACUGAAGAAGUCACCCUGGAUGAGUGACGAAAUGUUUCUCCCACUAAAAACGAUAAGUCCAGAUGAACAGAACCAACCUUUUGGGAGAUGCAGAAAUUGGAAAUUAAAUCUGCUGAUCUAACAUCAGCAAACUGAUGGUAAACCAUCUCAUGGUUCCAAAAAAAUUUGCUGAUUACAUGAUCAGUGGCCAGCCAAAAACAUUAACACAGUGAUGCCCUUUUCACGCCAGCUGUGAAUGUCCAACCCUCACAUCUAAAGAGGAGGGUGUUGGGCUGACGUUAGGGGUCUUUUUAAAGUCAUCACAGCAGGACACGUAUACAAACAGCUGGUCACAAACAGACCAGCAGUGAAUCCAACACUCCUUCACACUGAUCCUGGUCCAGUCGUCUUUGAUGAUGAAUAAAGGAGCGCUGAGCAGCCACGCGGGGUGGAUGAGAGAAACUUCAGAACUUCAUGCCUGCUGCUGCUGUUGAGCUAAUAAUAACCCAGGUUUCUAUGGCGGCAGUAAACAGAGCUCAGGUGAUAUGCAACAAACGUGAGCACCGAGCAGGUGUGAAGUGAGCCUGAAGAUGAAGGUUGCAUGUACAUCUACAUAAACGUGUGCUAAACCUUCAGAUUUUCACACAUCCUAAAAGUACAGAAGCCUAUUAAUGGGUAGUUUUAAAGUCUAAACCUGACCAAGGUAUAUGGAGGGCCUAAACAUAACUGAGUACUUUUUAGUGACUAAUCUUAACCAAGUAGUUUUUAACGCUCUAACCAAACAAGCAUUCUUUUAAAAGACUAAAGCAAACAUAUUUAUUUUUAAAUAAAUACUUAUUUAUAUAAUUAUUUUUAAAUCAACCCAACAAAGGAGUUGUGUUUCAGCUGACAAGCACACAAAGCUAGAGAUCCUUCAGGUGACUUCAUGAGCCAAGAAGGCAAGUUGAGAUCUGUUGCUGCUGCAGAUAUCUGCAUCACAGCAGCUCUGCAGCGUGCUUCAACACAUGUAAUCAUGCAAAAAAAAAAAGAAAGAAAUCCGCCCGAAGGGAAUUAAUAAAAUUCCUGUUUGCAGAAUGAAAAGAUCCACAAAAAGGUUAGUAAGCUUCACAGGAAACAAAUGCAGUAGAAACAAGUUGAAGCAGAUAGAAAACAAGAGAAGAAGGAAGCCCGUAUUACCAGUGCGACCCCUUCAGUCAACACCAAACGGGGAUUGAGCCUCAGUGUCUCCAGGGCCACAGCCAUUGGUCAGAAAGGCCUGACAUGCAAAGGGAGGGGAGGUUGGAGGGGUGAGGAGGGGCAGCAAGAUAAGCACAUUGAGGAGGAAGAAGAGGAGGAAGGACACACACAAGAGAGAGAAGAACAACAACUGUGAGUCACACAGAGAAACAAAGCAGAAGAAGAAAGUUCAGAAAUCAGUCAGUGGCAGCACUCUAGCUAAAACCUGCAGUAGGCUGGAGAACUGGUUCAUGGGUGCUGCUAUGCCAAAAUCACAGAGGUUGCAGAACAAGACGAGGACUCCAAGCUGCAGUCCAACAUGGAGGAGAUGGAGUGUGUCUGAGAGCCAGCUGGUCUAAAUGUUUCUGAUGAAGGGGAUCUAGACUCGUAAGCCUGCAAACUGCUGCUGCUGUCGGCUGUUUCUCACAAACAAAGCAUGGAGGACGAGCAGCUUUAACAGAAACCGGAGCUCCAGCAGAAACUCAGUUAGAGGAGGAGCAUGUACAGAGGCUCUGAUUGGCUUGCAUUAUCUCACAUCUGGAGAACAUCCCAGCACCUCUGACUGCAUCCCCACACCAGGAGGAGACAUGAGGAGAGAGGAAACACCUUAUUAGAGAUCUUUAGAUCACAGCUGGAUGACACUGAGAUUUAAUGUGAGCCCAAACUACGAAGUUGAAAAGUAACCGAACACCUGGCUGCAGCUGUACGUCGUAUCUCCUGAACGCUGUUUGGACUCCAAUCAGAUGAACUCAAGAACACACAAAACUCCCCCAUAAAUCGAGCCCACUCUGGUGAUUAAACUGGAGGCAUAUUCAACCCCACAGAUUCAUGAAACCUAACGUGGAGGCAGCUCAUUGUGUUCUUCCACCUCAUCUAUUUAAAAAGUAACGACACAGACAACAGUUACUCUCAUUUUGGUUAUUUCAAUCUUACUGCACGGUCAUGUGAUAUCGAAAAAAGUUGUUUCCAGCUGGCUAAAAAAUAAAUAAUGGGAAAAUGGUAAUAAAGUUGCCAAUAAUAAAGUUGAAGCGUUUUGUUGUUUUGGGUUUUUUUGGAUUCAUUUUGUAAUUUGUAACCGACCACAGACAAAGAUUAGUUGGAAGAGGUAUUAACUGGCAGUAAUCCUCUUCGGCUAAAUCAGCACAAUACUAUCAUAGGUAUGAUUUCUCAGCUUGGGAGAUUCCAGCCCUCCAAGGAGCACAUGAAUGCAACCGUGCAUGCACUCUUAUUAUUAAAGCAAAUUAAUCACAUUUUUGAGGUUCAAGGCUGUCAGGGGUGAUUAAAAUUUUAAUAUUUUCUAUGUCUAAUUGGUUUACUUAAAAAACAAACAAAAAAAACAAAAAAAACAUUCAAGCUUUCCCACUGCUACAUUUAGCAUGUGUGCAUGAAAUUCAUACACAUAUGCAAUUUGACAAGAUAAGUCAUCUGAAUUCUCCAAAUAUAAAGGAAAGGUGCUUUAAUGCUUCCUUUAUUACCUCAUUUAUCUGGGCAUACACUGCGGUAUCCUUUAUGGAAGGAGAGGAUAUAAUGCUGUCCCAUAAUUCAUAGUGAUGCAGACAUGAGAAGCCUUAAUAAGGAGGAAGAAUGGAGUUACACUGGAUCUUCUUUUGUAAUGACUUUUUCAUGGUAACAAACUGUUAGCAUGAAGUCAGAGCACAAGUUCUUAUCAGUCGUACUUCAGAGCUAUCUUUGACCUCACGACAGAAGGAGGCAGGAGGUAUUUUUGGACCGAGAUGCCAUUUAAGCUAUUUCCAGGUACACUUCAAAACAUAUCAUGUACCACAAAACAUAUUUGGUUAAUCUAGUCCAGGGGUCUCAAAGUUAUUUUGCAUCAUGGAUCAGUGAAAGUAUAUAACAAAAUGUGUAAAAUUACAGAAAAAAACUGCUGACGGUUCAUUGGUCAGACUGUUCAUUCACAGAAGACUUCCUUG